rnacentral:rRNA from 1 species
CCUACGGGGGGCAGCAGUGGGGAAUAUUGGACAAUGGGCGAAAGCCUGAUCCAGCCAUGCCGCGUGUGUGAAGAAGGCCUCCGGGUUGUAAAGCACUUUCAGUGGGGAAGAAAGCCUUGGGGCUAAUACCCUCGAGGAAGGACAUCACCCACAGAAGAAGCACCGGCUAACUCCGUGCCAGCAGCCGCGGUAAUACGGAGGGUGCGAGCGUUAAUCGGAAUUACUGGGCGUAAAGCGCGCGUAGGCGGUCUGAUAAGCCGGUUGUGAAAGCCCCGGGCUCAACCUGGGAACGGCAUCCGGAACUGUCAGGCUAGAGUGCAGGAGAGGAAGGUAGAAUUCCCGGUGUAGCGGUGAAAUGCGUAGAGAUCGGGAGGAAUACCAGUGGCGAAGGCGGCCUUCUGGACUGACACUGACGCUGAGGUGCGAAAGCGUGGGUAGCAAACAGGAUUAGAUACCCGAGUAGUC